rfam:Trichobilharzia regenti genome assembly, scaffold: TRE_scaffold0010549
AUCCAGAUGAAUAGUCCAAAAUAGGACGAAAUACGCGUCCUGGAU